UACCUACGGGGGGCAGCAGUAGGGAAUUUUCGGCAAUGGGCGAAAGCCUGACCGAGCAACGCCGCGUGAACGAAGAAGGUCUUCGGAUUGUAAAGUUCUGUUAUAGAGGAAGAAUGGUGUACGUAGGAAAUGGCGUACAAAUGACGGUACUCUGUGAGGAAGCCACGGCUAACUACGUGCCAGCAGCCGCGGUAAUACGUAGGUGGCGAGCGUUAUCCGGAAUGAUUGGGCGUAAAGGGUGCGUAGGCGGCCUGCUAAGUCUGGAGUGAAAGGUACCGGCUCAACCGGUACAGGCUCUGGAAACU
rnacentral:rRNA from 1 species